AAAGUAAGCACUUUCAGAGCCCGACCCUUCAAGGAGCUGCUGCUGCAGAAGGGAGAUUCUUCAAGCAAUCACUAUGUCAACAGACACAGGUGUUUCCCUUCCUUCAUAUGAGGAAGAUCAGGGAUCAAAACUCAUUCGAAAAGCUAAAGAGGCACCAUUCGUACCCGUUGGAAUAGCGGGUUUUGCAGCAAUUGUUGCAUAUGGAUUAUAUAAACUGAAGAGCAGGGGAAAUACUAAAAUGUCCAUUCAUCUGAUCCACAUGCGUGUGGCAGCCCAAGGCUUUGUUGUAGGAGCAAUGACUGUUGGUAUGGGCUAUUCCAUGUAUCGGGAAUUCUGGGCAAAACCUAAGCCUUAGAAGAAGAGAUGCUGUCUUGGUCUUGUUGGAGGAGCUUGCUUUAGUUAGAUGUCUUAUUAUUAAAGUUACCUAUUAUUGUUGGAAAUAAACUAAUUUGUAUGGGUUUAGAUGGUAACAUGGCAUUUUGAAUAUUGGCUUCCUUUCUUGCAGGCUUGAUUUGCUUGGUGACCGAAUUACUAGUGAC
ensembl:lncRNA novel transcript, antisense to CCBP2